UUCAUAGAGUGUAAAGGCAUAAGGGAGCUUGACUGCGAGACCUACAAGUCGAGCAGGGUCGAAAGACGGACUUAGUGAUCCGGUGGUUCCGCAUGGAAGGGCCAUCGCUCAACGGAUAAAAGCUACCCCGGGGAUAACAGGCUUAUCUCCCCCAAGAGUUCACAUCGACGGGGAGGUUUGGCACCUCGAUGUCGGCUCAUCGCAUCCUGGGGCUGUAGUCGGUCCCAAGGGUUGGGCUGUUCGCCCAUUAAAGCGGUACGCGAGCUGGGUUCAGAACGUCGUGAGACAGUUCGGUCCCUAUCCGUCGUGGGCGUAGGAAAUUUGAGAGGAGCUGUCCUUAGUACGAGAGGACCGGGAUGGACAUACCUCUGGUGUACCAGUUGUCGUGCCAACGGCAUAGCUGGGUAGCUAUGUGUGGACGGGAUAAGUGCUGAAAGCAUCUAAGCAUGAAGCCCCCCUCAAGAUGAGAUUUCCCAACUUCGGUUAUAAGAUCCCUCAAAGAUGAUGAGG
rnacentral:rRNA from 1 species